rnacentral:rRNA from 1 species
AGAAUCAACGCUGGCGGCGUGCCUAACACAUGCAAGUCGAACGAGAAAGUGGAGCAAUCCAUUAGUAAAGUGGCGCACGGGUGAGUAACACGUGACUAACCUACCCUUGAGUGGGGGAUAACCUAGAGAAAUCUGGGCUAAUACCGCAUAAUACCUUCGGGUCAAAGGAGCAAUUCGCUUAAGGAGGGGGUCGCGGCCGAUUAGUUAGUUGGCGGGGUAAUGGCCCACCAAGACUAUGAUCGAUA